rnacentral:rRNA from 1 species
UCGGGAAUAUUGCGCAAUGGAGGAAACUCUGACGCAGUGACGCCGCGUAUAGGAAGAAGGUUUUCGGAUUGUAAACUAUUGUCGUUAGGGAAGAUAAAAGACUGUACCUAAGGAGGAAGCCCCGGCUAACUAUGUGCAGCAGCCGCGGUAAUACAUAGGGGGCGAAGCGUUAUCCGGAAUUAUUGGGUGUAAAGGGUGCGUAGACGGAAGAACAAGUUGGUUGUGAAAUCCCUCGGCUCAACUGAGGAACUGCAACCAAAACUAUUCUCCUUGAGUGUCGGAGAGGAAAGUGGAAUUCCUAGUGUAGCGGUGAAAUGCGUAGAUAUUAGGAGGAACACCAGUGGCGAAGGCGACUUUCUGGACGAUAACUGACGUUGAGGCACGAAAGUGUGGGGAGCAAACAGGAUUAGAUACC